AAAUUGAAGAGUUUGAUCAUGGCUCAGAUUGAACGCUGGCGGCAGGCCUAACACAUGCAAGUCGAGCGGAAACGAGUUAUCUGAACCUUCGGGGGACGAUAACGGCGUCGAGCGGCGGACGGGUGAGUAAUGCCUAGGAAAUUGCCCUGAUGUGGGGGAUAACCAUUGGAAACGAUGGCUAAUACCGCAUAAUGCCUACGGGCCAAAGAGGGGGACCUUCGGGCCUCUCGCGUCAGGAUAUGCCUAGGUGGGAUUAGCUAGUUGGUGAGGUAAUGGCUCACCAAGGCGACGAUCCCUAGCUGGUCUGAGAGGAUGAUCAGCCACACUGGAACUGAGACACGGUCCAGACUCCUACGGGAGGCAGCAGUGGGGAAUAUUGCACAAUGGGCGCAAGCCUGAUGCAGCCAUGCCGCGUGUGUGAAGAAGGCCUUCGGGUUGUAAAGCACUUUCAGUCGUGAGGAAGGUAGUGUAGUUAAUAGCUGCAUUAUUUGACGUUAGCGACAGAAGAAGCACCGGCUAACUCCGUGCCAGCAGCCGCGGUAAUACGGAGGGUGCGAGCGUUAAUCGGAAUUACUGGGCGUAAAGCGCAUGCAGGUGGUUUGUUAAGUCAGAUGUGAAAGCCCGGGGCUCAACCUCGGAAUAGCAUUUGAAACUGGCAGACUAGAGUACUGUAGAGGGGGGUAGAAUUUCAGGUGUAGCGGUGAAAUGCGUAGAGAUCUGAAGGAAUACCGGUGGCGAAGGCGGCCCCCUGGACAGAUACUGACACUCAGAUGCGAAAGCGUGGGGAGCAAACAGGAUUAGAUACCCUGGUAGUCCACGCCGUAAACGAUGUCUACUUGGAGGUUGUGGCCUUGAGCCGUGGCUUUCGGAGCUAACGCGUUAAGUAGACCGCCUGGGGAGUACGGUCGCAAGAUUAAAACUCAAAUGAAUUGACGGGGGCCCGCACAAGCGGUGGAGCAUGUGGUUUAAUUCGAUGCAACGCGAAGAACCUUACCUACUCUUGACAUCCAGAGAACUUUCCAGAGAUGGAUUGGUGCCUUCGGGAACUCUGAGACAGGUGCUGCAUGGCUGUCGUCAGCUCGUGUUGUGAAAUGUUGGGUUAAGUCCCGCAACGAGCGCAACCCUUAUCCUUGUUUGCCAGCGAGUAAUGACGGGAACUCCAGGGAGACUGCCGGUGAUAAACCGGAGGAAGGUGGGGACGACGUCAAGUCAUCAUGGCCCUUACGAGUAGGGCUACACACGUGCUACAAUGGCGCAUACAGAGGGCGGCCAACUUGCGAAAGUGAGCGAAUCCCAAAAAGUGCGUCGUAGUCCGGAUUGGAGUCUGCAACUCGACUCCAUGAAGUCGGAAUCGCUAGUAAUCGUGGAUCAGAAUGCCACGGUGAAUACGUUCCCGGGCCUUGUACACACCGCCCGUCACACCAUGGGAGUGGGCUGCAAAAGAAGUAGGUAGUUUAACCUUCGGGGGGACGCUUACCACUUUGUGGUUCAUGACUGGGGUGAAGUCGUAACAAGGUAGCGCUAGGGGAACCUGGCGCUGGAUCACCUCCUUA
rnacentral:rRNA from 1 species